rnacentral:rRNA from 1 species
AUGGAGGAAUCCUUCACGGCCCCCUCCGUCGACCCACCCGCCGUCGAUCCCGCCUCCGUCGACUCCCCCGCCGUCGAUCCGGCCUCCGUUGACUCCCCCGCCGNNNNNNNNNNNNNNNNNNNNNNNNNNNNNNNNNNNNNNNNCUUCUACCCCCCCGCAGUCGACCCCGCCGUCGCCAACCCAUCCCGCUACCCCUCCUGGGUCCUCCUCGACAGCAGAGCCUACUUCGCCGACCGCGUCAACGCCACCACCGUGAAGGCCACGACGAGCACGGGCCACGAAUUCAAGGUCACCUUUUGUCUCGCCGACCCGCCCGCCGUCUCCUACUUCUGCGUCUACUGCCCCGAAGGUUGUUACACCACGGAGCCCCGCGUCGUCUCCUCCGCCAAUGACCUCGUCCUCCUCUGCUUCGCCUUCAGCUCCGGCCCACGGAGCACAGAAAAAGACUCCCAUCUCGAGUACUUUGUCUACAAGGCUGCCUCCGGCGGCAAGCCCACCAUCAGAUCUGUUCCGUGUCCCCCUCGAGCCUACAGGCACUCAUGGCACGCUGCCAUCGUGCCCGUCAAGGGCGACAAUUUCUUGGUCGCUGAUCUUUCCCCCAAUGGGGACCCUGGGCACUACAACCUGCACAUCUUCUCGUCGGAGACAAAUGAGUGGAGCACCAAACACGUGCAGCUGCAGACCGACCCGCAUGUCCUGCCACUGGAGCUGCCAAUCCUAACUGACAAGGUGAUCUUGCUCGGAAGAAGCACGGUAGGAUGGGUCGACCUCUGGCGCGGCAUUGUCGUCUGCAAUUUGCUUGAAAAGGAGCCUGUUCCCCGUUUCAUCCCGCUGCCCAAGGCCGAAUUCGACCUGCACCGGAAAAGCCAAGCACGGCAAGUGCGGGACGUCAUUGGCUUCACCGAUGGUUACAUCAACUUCAUUGAGAUUGAACACUGUGUCAGAUGGUUCCCCGUUGUCAGAAAGAGCAAUUUGAAGACGGCCAUGACUUUUGAUGUUGCAGAUACCAUCGAUGAUGCAGAGCUCCUCAGUCUUGAUGAUAUGGACGACGUUACAGAUGACAAACCUGUGCAGCAUGUACCCGCUGGCUGGAAGAUCCGGACAAUGUUUAGGAACAUUGAUUGGAACUAUUGGGAAAGUAGUCACAUUCUUCAUGUUGACGACAUAUCAGCCUCCCCACCUGAACCCUCUGUGCUGCAAUCUCAUCUAUGGAAUGAUACAGACAAGAAAUGGACAUUGGGAAAACUGAAGUGUACAAGCUUCCCGACCUUUGGUUUUUACGGCGGUGAUGUUGUCUACCUCGUGUCUAAGGUGGAGUCUCAGGAUAAUGAUGCAUUGCUUGUUGGUGUUGAUAUUCGAAAAAUGAAGGUGGAAUCCAUCAAAGCAUAUGGCUGCGGGAGAUCCAUUUCUUUUGGUCCCAUUCCGGUUGUUCGUUUUAAAAUUGGAAGGAAGCAGGAAGUCAUCGAACCAUCUUGUGGCGGGAGAUCCACUUCUUUUGAUGCCAUUUCAUGUGCAUUCUCAAAAUAUCUGAAUACCGCUCCAAGUCCAAGGCCGUGUAAUGGGGAAGCUGCUCAGAAUGGUGUGCUGAAUGAUCAUCUUUCAUCGAGGGAUACUGUUCCAAACAGUGUGCAGCCCCAGCAAAACAUGUGGAAUGAUGGUGGCUGCAAUGGGGGUUGGAGUGAAUAUGGUUAUAGCGUGUAGCACCCAUCCAGUUUGACACAAACUGGGCAGCCCAUGUUGUCUUCAAUUUCAACUCGAUUAGGUUCUGAGGCAUCAUCUUGUGGAGGACUCAUGUUAAGAUCAAUCCCAAACAUCAUUGCGGCGGUGGAGCACUUGCUCAGCAGCAACAACAGAGGCGGGGGCGGGGAAUACCAGCAGCAACAGAGGCGAGGGCGGGCGCGACCGGAGGAGGGCCAGCACGGAGAGGAAGACCCUGGGCUUGGAGGAGAGGUUGAGCAGGGCCAACGCGGCGAUGAAGACCCUGGGCCAGAGCAGCGACGAAGACCCAGCGCCGCGACGGCGUCCAAAAUUGUCCGCGGCGACGGCGGCCAAGGCGGACCAAAUCGAGGACCUAGUCGUCGAUUUACUGCUUCUUGGCACGAUUCAGAGGGAGGUGACGAAGAGGAAGAACUUUAGGAGCAAUCCCGCUGCUCAGGUAGGCGAGGGCACACCCAUGGCGGCUGCGCAGCUGGGCGGCGGCGCAAGGCGCCUCCGUGAAGGUCCUGCGCGUCUCCUCCGCGACGACGCAGGUCGUCUCCUGCACAGGCGGCUGGGUCCUGCGACGCGCGGAGACUCUCUCUGGGUGCUCAGGAGAACGGGGAAGGAAGACGGGGGAUGGUGGCCGGAGCCGGCGACGCGCGAGCGAUGGUGGAGAAGUGAGGAAGGAGACGGGGGCGUUUUUCAAAUGAUUCAAAAGUAUAAGGACAUGUUUGCAAAAUGCAUAAUGUACAGCAGCCGCGACAUCUAAAUCCGAACGGAGGGAGUAUUACACUAUAUAAGUAUACAAGUACAGUAUACAAUACAAAU